ACCUGGGUGGCUCAGCCGGUUGAGCAUCCGACUUCGGCUCAGGUCAUGAUCUCGCAGUUCGUGGGUUCGAGCCCCAUGUCAGGCU
rnacentral:tRNA from 1 species